rnacentral:lncRNA from 1 species
AGGGGUCACAGUGAAGACAACACGUACGAUUUCCAACUGAAUGCAUAACUGUCUGUAGAGUUAUGCUUAUCAUCUUGCAUGUUGUCUUCAUAUUUAAACCAGCAUAUUAUAUCUUUUUUUUUGUAUCCGGACUGAUAUGCCGUUAUUAACAAAGUCAAAUUACUUUGGCAUGAACAUCAUUCUAACAACUCUAUACUGAAUGUUUAAGUUAUAAAAUCAUUGUUUUUAAAUGUGACUAAUGUAUAAAUUUGACACUUUUAUGAUUGCAUUUUUCAUCUAGUAUCACUUUAUAAUAACUUUGUUUCACUUUUUCUGAAGACUCUACUGCUGUUUUACAGUUAACACAGCACAACACAGAAGAAGCCUUUGGGUAUGAAAGGAAGAAUUGAACUGUAAACGGCAUCAGUGCCACAGUGGAUUACUGAAUUUCUCUCUUAUUCUAUGCUGGUUUUCCAGUCACACCUCUGGCCACAAUGUCACCCUGAACUAAGUAGUACACGAUGUCAAACAUCCAGAAGACCACUAGGUCCAGGGCCACCACAAGGCCUCCAACAGCAAUGUGUCUGAGGAUAGAUAAUCCGCUGAGCGCGGUGGCCUGCCUCUCCUUAUCGGUGAGAUACAAAGAACCUGGGGACAAAACACAUUAAAAUUCGUGUCAUGACCAUGGUAUCAUCAAACAGGGCUAGGUUCUUUAGGUGCCCUUUGUUUUUCUUUCUGGUUCCACUCCCUCCCUGGCUCCAGCUACUCGUCUUUGGGAACCUUGUUACCUUGCCCUACUUCUCUUCAAGGAAGUAUGAUCCAUUAGGCUUGCAAUUCCCCUUCGCCAGUCACUCUCCCCAUCGGCUCCUUGCUUUCAACUCACAGGGACAGAUCCCAGCGUGACAUUUGGAUUGAAACCCAACACCACUGGACUGACUCAACUAAGUCAGCUAAGGAUAUGAAACAACAACAAUUUAAAAAAGGAAACAUGACGCAAGACCUUCUACUCUAUAAUUUCGAAAGAAAAUGGAAGAGGCACUUCCAGUCAUUUGAAACAGUGAAAACGGUCA